rnacentral:rRNA from 1 species
GAUGAACGCUAGCUACAGGCUUAACACAUGCAAGUCGAGCGGCAGCAUGGUCUUAGCUUGCUAAGGCCGAUGGCGACCGGCGCACGGGUGAGUAACACGUAUCCAACCUGCCGUCUACUCUUGGACAGCCUUCUGAAAGGAAGAUUAAUACAAGAUGGCAUCAUGAGUUCACAUGUUCACAUGAUUAAAGGUAUUCCGGUAGACGAUGGGGAUGCGUUCCAUUAGAUAGUAGGCGGGGUAACGGCCCACCUAGUCUUCGAUGGAUAGGGGUUCUGAGAGGAAGGUCCCCCACAUUGGAACUGAGACACGGUCCAAACUCCUACGGGAGGCAGCAGUGAGGAAGAUUGGUCAAUGGGCGAGAGCCUGAACCAGCCAAGUAGCGUGAAGGAUGACUGCCCUAUGGAUUGUAAACUUCUUUUAUAAAGGAAUAAAGUCGGGUAUGUAUGCCCGUUUGCAUGUACUUUAUGAAUAAGGAUCGGCUAACUCCGUG